AGAGAGAGAGAGAGAGAGAGAGAGAGAGAGAGAGAGAGAGAGAGAGAGAGAGAGAGAGAGAGAGCUUGUGGAGACCAAACCAGAGUCAAGCCCGCUCGUUCAUAUUGCUUGGAUUCAAUGAGUUCCCAACUCAGCAAGCCAAACUUGAAGUCAAA